GAAUGCCCACUGUGUGUCAACCUUGUGCUAAGCAUUGUUGGGGAGACAGAGAUGAGAGUAGCAUCAUUUUCCCCAGGAGGCUGUUGGUGGAACAAGAGUGUGUCCUUAGAGGACGGAUUCUCUCUACUUCAUUCACCAAUGUAUCCGGAUCACCUAGAAGAGUGAGCUGGCCCUUAGAAGAUGUUGGAUUGACAUUUUUUUUUUUUUUUGUCUUAUGCAGAACAGAAGCCCUGUGAGACCUAUAGAGCUUUAGCUGAAGCUACCAGCAACCCCUCCAUGGUGUGGCAUUGAAUUUUGAGGCCCACGCUGUUUCCAUCAUGGGGAAGCCUCAUCUUCAGGCAGAGACCUGGAAGCAGUGACAAGAGUGACUGGGUGUCGUCUGGCUUUUUGAAGGAAUAAGAGGUACUUGGAAACGAAAGCUGAAUAAGACCUUGACACCACCCUUGAAAAGUUUGUAGUCCAGUGGCAGACACAAAAUUAGAAUUAUAAACCAAGAAAUGCUGUGAAGUGAUAGAAAUUUGUACAAAUAACGUGGGGCCACAGCAGAAGAGGUGGCGAAGUCUACCGAGAGGAGAGAGGUAUCCGAAGACUUCGUGGAAGAGAGAGAACAUUAACUGAAUACCUCAGAGGCUGAAGCAAAGAAACAAAGAGAACACUAGUCUUCUUUGUCAAUCUGGCUCUGAAUGCGAACACCGUUUUGAACUUGGAGGACUCAUGGGAAGUUGGUUUGAUGGUUGGAGGCUUGUUUUUAGAACUCAUUCUUUGCUGCUUCUUUCUAUACUUUGUUUUGUUUUUGUUUCUGGUUUUUAGUAAAGCCUAUACCCGCAAUCACAACAAUCUCACAAAGGACUAAAUCAGAGACCAGAGUCCGAAUGCCCAGUCACGUUGCUCCCUCUACCACUCGGUGGAUUUCUUCUAGAUUCUAUAUUCUGAUGUCAGCCAUCUCCCGCCCUUCUUUUCUUUCCUCACGGGCCCUGCCUUAGGUUUAUACUUUUGCAAUAGAUCCUUAAAUGUUCUCCCUGCCUCCAGAUUCUUACAUUGCACACAGGUCAAAUGUCAAAACGGGGCUUCUUGGAUAAAAGCAGCCCACGGUGCCUUUCCUUUUUCUUUUCUGUCCAAAACACUUUUUAGAAUAAGAUGUCUGGAUAGAAAAAUUAGAUGUGUUUACGUAAAAAUACCCAUUCCUGGUUUCUCUUGAAAACUCAGUUGAUCUGGACCACACUAGUUCAGCCAGAGCAACGGGUGGACGAAACCCAAUAGAGGUCCUCUCUUCUCGCUCAGGCGUCAGACGUCUCUCCAGUUUGUCAUCACCUCUCUUCCUCGCUGUGGUUCUAUACCUUUCCUUUUUUUACCUGCCUGAAUCUGGGGUGCAUUUGAAUUCCAAACAGAAAUCUGAUCAUGUGACACUCUUAUUUAAAAAACCUGCACCUGUUGGUCUGGCAGAUGAAGUUCAAACUCUUCACCGUAGCACAGAAAGGACUUCUUCACCUGGUCUCAUGCUCUCUGUGGAUGUCCUUUGUGACUCAUGCCCUUCUCAGAAGUCAUGCUGAAUGGCUGCGCCGUGUUGUAUGUCUGUGUCUUCUUCUGUCUACUGUGAUUUCUUCCUUUCAGGUGGGAUGCCAUUUCUUUUCUUCUGCAGCUGGUGUACAUUUAUUCUUUAUCCUCUGUCCAAAUAUAAAUCCUCUAACUUCUGCUUUCUCAUCACCUGCUUCUCCACUUCCUCAGCAUCUCGGGCUCGCCUCUGUUAGGACCCUUUGCCAGCAGUGUCUGGUGAAUUCUCUCUCCUUCUCCAGACUGCACACCCUCCGGGAUUCUGAACCAUCUUCGUCUUUGGAGGCCUAGUGUGGGAUAGCUUAUAAAGUUGAUUCACUGACUGCUGGUUUAAAAUGGUGUCUGUGAACAGCCUCUGGUACAGCUUUCUCCGUAAUGUGCAGUAAAAUACCAAAGAAGGCUUAGAAGAAGAUAUAAACUCAAAAUACAGCCAUAAACUUGGACUGACAAUCAACUAAAGGCUGGAUCGGGGAGGUAGCAGAACCUGUCGGAAGGUUUGAUGGGAUAACAUGGCAGCUCAGGAGGAAGCAGAUCACCCUGAGAUCUGGGGAGUACUUCCAUUAAUAACUGAGGAAACAAAAAGCUAGAGGGGUGACAAGGUCAGGGUGAUCUUGAUGGGAAAUGAAGAGGCCAACCCUUGCACUGAAGGGCCUCUGACACCACCUCGUAUUCCACUCCUCCCUACGAGUACAGAGGCAUCUUGGUGCCUUUCGGAUGGAAAUUGUCAAGUAACUGGAUUCGUAGGAUCAGCUGUAGUUUCUGGAUAGAGAAAUUUGACGCAGCGGGGUGGGAUAUCAGGCUCUGUGCCCCAUGGGCCUGAGGUCUAUUUACUGCGACUGAUGCCAACUCUUACAAAGAGGAGGCUGAGGAAGUUUUCAACCUCGUGGAUCCCAGUAACUAGCCUCAGCCAUGUUAGUCACUCUGCUAGUGGCUGCCAGAUCACGCACAGAUGCCACCUGCUGGGAAGAUCCCACUCCAAGACUGAGACCUGCUUCAGAACCUAGCGUGAGAAUUGUCAAUACCUACAACUUGGAAAUGCUGGGACAGGCAGAGCUGUAAUUAAAGUAGGUAGAGCGAGAAGAGUUCUUGUUUUACUCAGGAGGAAAUUGAGACUUACAAAGGCUUUGGAGACUUAACUUGAGAGGCAAAGGCAAGAAGAUCUGAUUUCUCUCUGCAUUUUGAUAACUAUCAUCUUCUCUUUUUUCUUUUCUUUUUUUUUCUUUUCUUUUCUUUUCUUUUCUUUUCUUUUCUUUUCUUUUCU